rnacentral:lncRNA from 10 species
GCUUGCAUUCCUAGAAUAAACUCACUUUGGAAGGCUGUGUUAUCCUUUUUACAUAUUGCUGAGUUCAAUUUGCUAAUAUUUUGUUAACAAUUAACUCACCAGGGCCUAAGAUUUUAAAUUUCAAAUCCAGUUUAUUUAAUUGAUAUAGGACUACUCAGAUAUUUUAUUUCUUCUUGAGUCAGUGUGGUCAUUUGUGUCCUUCCAGGAAUUUAUUCAUUUCAUUUAUGUUGUUAAAUUUAUAUUGAUAAAAAGUUGUUCAUAAUGUUCUAUUAUCUUUUCAAUGUCUGUAGAAACAAUAACGAAGUGCCCUCUUUUACUUGGACCAAAAACUAAAUCUUGGGAUAAGAGUCAAAACUUGGGGCUGCCAGGCACGGUGGCUGACACCUAUAAGCUCAGUACCUUGGGAGGCUGAGGCAGGAGAAUUGCUUGAGUCCAGGAGUUUGACACCAUCCUGGGCAACAUAGUGAGACCCCAUCUCUUUAAAAAGUAAAAAGUUAGCCAGGCAUGGUGUUGCAAUCCUGUCAUCCCAGCUACUCAGGAGGCUGAAGUAGGAAGAUCAUUUGGGCCCAGGAGUUCCAGGCUGCAGUGAGCCCUGAUCCUGCCACUACACUCCAGCCUGGGUGACAAAGCAAGACUCUGUCUCUAAAAAUAAACACAUUAAAUAUAAACUACAGGGCCUAGCGUGGUGGCUCACGCCUGUAAUUCCAGCACUUUGGGAGGCCGAGGCAGGCGGAUCACUAGGUCAGGAGAUUGAGACCAUCCUGGCUAACACGGUGAAACCCUGUCUCUACUAAAAAUACAAAAACUAGCUGGGCAUGGUGGCAAGGGCCUUUAGUCCCAGCUACUCGGGAGGCUGAGGCAGCUGAAUGGCGUGAACCCAGGAGGCGGAGCUUGCAGUGAGCCAAGAUCUUGCCGCUGCACGCCAGCCUGGAGAUGGUCCAAGUGCAGUGGUGUUACAACUAAUUUAUCACAACCAGUCACAGAUUUAUUUAUUCCUUCUCCACUCCCUACUGCUUCACUUGACUAGCCAAACAACAACAACAACAACAAAAAACCAUGGAAUUCUAGGCAAAUCAGUUCCACACAUAGCAAUUGGCUGCUACGCCUGUUAAUUCUCCUGAGCUGCUUUUUCCCUCCGUUGCCAGCCUUAGAGGAUCAGUUUUUUAUUUAACGUUGUUAAGAAGAAAGGGGCUAGGCCGGGCGCUGUGGCUCAGGCCUGUAAUCCCAGCACUUUGGGAGGCCAAGGCGGGGGGAUCACGAGGUGAGGAGAUGAAGACCGUCCUGGCUAACACGGUGAAACCCCGUCUCUACUAAAAAUACAAAAAAUUAGCCGGGCGUUCUGGCGGGCACCUGUAAUCCCAGCUACUCCGGGGGCUGAGGCAGGAGAAUUGCUUGAACCCAGGAGGCAAAGGUUGCAGUGAGCCAAGAUCGUGCCACUGCACUCCAGCCUGGGCGACAGAGCUAGACUCUAUCUCCAAUCCAAAAAAAAAAAAAAAAAAGAAGAAGAAGAAGAAGAAAGGGGCCAGGCGCAGCGGCUUAUGCCUGUAAUCCCAGCACUUUGGGAGGCCAAGGCGGGUGGAUCAUUUGAGGUCAGGAGUUCGAGACCAGCCUGACUAACAUGAUGAAACCCCGUCUCCACUAAAAAUACAAAAAUUAGCCAGGCGUGGUGGCAUGCACCUGUAAUCCCAGCUACUUGGGAGGCUGAGGCUCAAGAAUUGCUUAAGCCCAGGAGGCAGGGGUUUCAGGAAGCCAAGAUCAUGCCACUGCACUCCAGCCUGGGUGACAGAGUGAGACUCUGUCUGAAAAAAGCAAAACAAAAUAAAACAAAAAAGAAGAAAGGGGCCAGGCGCAAUGGCACACACUGUAACCCCAGCACUUUGGGAGGCUGAAGUGGGCAGAUCGCUUGAGCCCAGGAAUUUGAGACCAGCCUGGGCAAUAUGGCAAAACCCCUUCUCUACAAAAAAAAAAAAAAAAAAAAAAAAAAAAAAUUAGCCAGGUGUGGUGGUGGGCAUCUGUGGUCCCAGCUACAUGGGAGGCUGAGGCAUGAGGAUUGAUUGAACCCGGAGGUCAAGGCUGCAGUAAGCCAUGUUCGUAUCACUGUACUCCAGCCUGGGUGACAUAGUGAGACCCUGUCUCAGAAAAAAAGAAUAAGAAGAAUGAGAGAGGUAGACUCCAGAAAUGACAAAUGGCAAGCUCAAUGUUGAUCUUUUUUUUUUUUUUUUUUUU